rnacentral:rRNA from 1 species
GAGUUUGAUCCUGGCUCAGAGCGAACGCUGGCGGCAGGCUUAACACAUGCAAGUCGAGCGGGCGUAGCAAUACGUCAGCGGCAGACGGGUGAGUAACACGUGGGAACGUACCUUUGGUUCGGAACAACUGAGGGAAACUUCAGCUAAUACCGGAUAAGCCCUAACGGGAAGAUUAUCGCCGAAAGAUCGGCCCGCGUCUGAUUAGCUAGUUGGUGAGGUAAUGGCUCACCAAGGCGACGAUCAGUAGCUGGUCUGAGAGGAUGAUCAGCCACACUGGGACUGAGACACGGCCCAGACUCCUACGGGAGGCAGCAGUGGGGAAUAUUGGACAAUGGGGGCAACCCUGAUCCAGCCAUGCCGCGUGAGUGAUGAAGGCCCUAGGGUUGUAAGCUCUUUGUGCGGAAGAUAAUGACGGUACCGCAAGAAUAAGCCCCGACUAACUUCGUGCCAGCAGCCGCCGCGGUAAC